AAUUUUGAAACUGCUAUUUUGCCUUAUUUCCUAGGAAGUUGCAAAACACGUUUACCACACUAGAUAGUGGAGAGCUGCUUUAGCUUAAAAAAAAACACCAUAUACCCAUUGCAGAAGUUAGUAGCAUUAUUAUGUCCAAUUUUAGACUAAAAUGUAAGAACUAAGAAGCAAAAUAACUUACCCAAGUGAACACAACAACAUACUGUGACAACAGUUCUCUAAAAACCAACAUUUAUUGGCUGCCUAUUAUACUAUAUAUUAGGCAGCAUCAUAUCAUACAUAUUGAUACUUGAUAGUGUACAUAUAUAUAUAUAUAUAUAUAUAUAUAUAUAUAUAUAUAUAUAUAAUGCAAUUCUAAUUUAAACACAAAGUACAAGAUAACAAAGAGUACAAUUAAUAGUACAUAGUAUAGGGAUAUUACAUAUAUAUUGCCAAAGUUCCCCUGAGAACUUGAUUCACACACAAAGUGAAGUGAGUUCGAGGAAUUGGAAAAUGCCAAAGGAUGGAAGUUGCCCUUUUGAAGAGAAUUCGCCCUUAAGAAAAAGAACGGUUCAUUCCCAGCAAUCUUUCAACUUAUUACAUAAUAUUCAUGCUCCACCAUGAUUGAACCAAAAGGAAACACCGACAAAAAUGCACCAUAUGCAUCUCCACCACCUCCACUGCCACAGAGGCAGCGAGGGCUAUUAUUCGAGAAGGGGUGCAGUUUGGAGAGGGUUCGAGAAUGAAUGUUGGAUUGGGUGUUAUAGAAUGAAUUGAAAGUGUGAGAUGACUUAUGUAUAUAAUAGCUAUACAGUCUAGCUAGUGUGGGGGGGUGACUUUUUGUCAAAGGUAACAUAAACAAAACAGAAAAGGGUGAAAUGGAGAUUCUCAAUUGAGCAUCUUCCAAAGCAUAUGCCACUGCCACCUCCAUUGCUCUCCACAUCUGAUAUACACUUUUCCGUAAGGCAUCAUACGUAUUUUCUUU
rnacentral:lncRNA from 1 species